GGAAACGGUAGCUAAUACCGCAUAACGUCGCAAGACCAAAGAGGGGGACCUUCGGGCCUCUUGCCAUCGGAUGUGCCCAGAUGGGAUUAGCUAGUAGGUGGGGUAACGGCUCACCUAGGCGACGAUCCCUAGCUGGUCUGAGAGGAUGACCAGCCACACUGGAACUGAGACACGGUCCAGACUCCUACGGGAGGCAGCAGUGGGGAAUAUUGCACAAUGGGCGCAAGCCUGAUGCAGCCAUGCCGCGUGUAUGAAGAAGGCCUUCGGGUUGUAAAGUACUUUCAGCGGGGAGGAAGGGAGUAAAGUUAAUACCUUUGCUCAUUGACGUUACCCGCAGAAGAAGCACCGGCUAACUCCGUGCCAGCAGCCGCGGUAAUACGGGGGGUGCAAGCGUUAAUCGGAAUUACUGGGCGUAAAGCGCACGCAGGCGGUUUGUUAAGUCAGAUGUGAAAUCCCCGGGCUCAACCUGGGAACUGCAUCUGAUACUGGCAAGCUUGAGUCUCGUAGAGGGGGGUAGAAUUCCAGGUGUAGCGGUGAAAUGCGUAGAGAUCUGGAGGAAUACCGGUGGCGAAGGCGGCCCCCUGGACGAAGACUGACGCUCAGGUGCGAAAGCGUGGGGAGCAAACAGGAUUAGAUACCCUGGUAGUCCACGCCGUAAACGAU
rnacentral:rRNA from 1 species